rnacentral:rRNA from 1 species
ACUUCGUAGUGAGUGUUAGAGCCGCCCGUACCCCAAACCGACACAGGUGAUCAGGUAGAGAAUACCAAGGCGAUCGAGUGAACCAUGGUAAAGGAACUCGGCAAAAUGCCCCCGUAACUUCGGGAGAAGGGGGGCCGGAUGCGUUACAUGGCUUGCCCAUGGAAGCGUUGAUGGCCGCAGAGACCAGGCCCAAGCGACUGUUUACUAAAAACACAGGUCCGUGCGAAGAAGUAAUUCGAUGUAUACGGACUGACGCCUGCCCGGUGCUGGAACGUUAAGGGGACAGGUUAGCUGGUUUAGGCCGGCUAAGCUUUGAACUUAAGCGCCAGUAAACGGCGGUGGUAACUAUAACCAUCCUAAGGUAGCGAAAUUCCUUGUCGGGUAAGUUCCGACCUGCACGAAUGGCGUAACGACUUGGGCGCUGUCUCAACCAUGGACUCGGCGAAAUUGCAUUACGAGUAAAGAUGCUCGUUACGCGCAGCAGGACGGAAAGACCCCGGGACCUUUACUACAACUUGGUAUUGGUGGUCGGUACAACUUGUGUAGGAUAGGUGGGAGACUGUGAAAUCCGGACGCCAGUUCGGGUGGAGUCAUCGUUGAAAUACCACUCUGGUUGUUCUGGCUGUCUAACUUCGGUCCAUUAUCUGGAUCAGGGACAGUGCCUGGUGGGUAGUUUGACUGGGGCGGUCGCCUCCUAAAAGGUAACGGAGGCGCUCAAAGGUUCCCUCAGCCUGGUUGGCAAUCAGGUGUCGAGUGUAAGUGCACAAGGGAGCUUGACUGUGAGACAGACAUGUCGAGCAGGGACGAAAGUCGGAACUAGUGAUCCGGCGGUGGCAUGUGGGAGCACCGUCGCUCAACGGAUAAAAGGUACCCCGGGGAUAACAGGCUGAUCUUCCCCAAGAGUCCAUAUCGACGGGAUAGUUUGGCACCUCGAUGUCGGCUCGUCGCAUCCUGGGGCUGGAGUAGGUCCCAAGGGUUGGGCUGUUCGCCCAUUAAAGCGGCACGCGAGCUGGGUUUAGAACGUCGUGAGACAGUUCGGUCCCUAUCCGCUGCGCGCGCAGGAGACUAGAGAAGGGCUGCCCCUAGUACGAGAGGACCGGGGUGGACGAACCUCUGGUGUGCCAGUUGUUCCGCCAGGAGCACGGCUGGUUGGCUACGUUCGGGAGUGAUAACCGCUGAAAGCAUCUAAGCGGGAAGCACGCUUCAAGAUGAGGUCUCCCACCGAGUUAAUCGGGUAAGGCCCCCAGUAGACCACUGGGUUGAUAGGCCAGAGGUGGAAGCGCCGUAAGGUGUGGAGCUGACUGGUACUAAUAGGCCGAGGGCUUGUCAC